GGACGAUAAAGGCACACCUCGCGCGAGCGGGGGUCGCAAAGCCGACGGGAGUCAAAACGGUUUUGACUUGGCCGGGUUGCCGAA
rnacentral:ncRNA from 1 species